GGGCACUUGGCACAGUGGUAGCGCGCACGCUUCGCAUCUUGUCGAUUAGAUUGCGUGAGGUCGGGAGUUCAAUCCUCCCAGUGUCCA